CGAACGCUGGCGGCAGGCCUAACACAUGCAAGUCGAGCGCCCCGCAAGGGGAGCGGCAGACGGGUGAGUAACGCGUGGGAAUCUACCCAUCCCUACGGAACAACUCAGGGAAACUUGAGCUAAUACCGUAUACGCCCUUCGGGGGAAAGAUUUAUCGGGGAUGGAUGAGCCCGCGUUGGAUUAGCUAGUUGGUGAGGUAAUGGCUCACCAAGGCGACGAUCCAUAGCUGGUCUGAGAGGAUGAUCAGCCACACUGGGACUGAGACACGGCCCAGACUCCUACGGGAGGCAGCAGUGGGGAAUAUUGGACAAUGGGCGCAAGCCUGAUCCAGCCAUGCCGCGUGAGUGAUGACGGCCCUAGGGUUGUAAAGCUCUUUCAACGGUGAAGAUAAUGACGGUAACCGUAGAAUAAGCCCCGGCUAACUUC
rnacentral:rRNA from 1 species